UCAUGUGUAGGUGACUGAGGAAGUCGUGACAGGAUCAACAGAACUUUAUCGUAAAUAUCGUGGAAAAUUUCCAGAAAAGAUCGUUCAAGAGUGACCUAACCAUAAGAAUAUAAAUAGUUCUUCCUGUUUGAAGAACUGAAUAACAGGGAAAAUGCUUGAUCGAAAAUGACUCAGCUGUUCAUCAGUGGCAUUCGACGUCAUUUUCCAUUCCUGGUUGACAUCGUCAUUUGAUGUAGAAUCGUCAUCACAUUCAAAUAACUGAAAGUUGGGGUCCUUUAGAAGGAUAACACCGCUGAUUCGUUGAACCUGAUAGAGAAAUGUAAUAAUUCCGUCACUCAUUUAUCAUUAAUUAAGAAAGACUUACUCUUGCCAUGUAUUCGACUACAUCUCGCAUAUUUCGUGGAUAUCCCGUGACGAGAACGGCAUCAACGUUUAUGAUUUCCGAUGAAAUUCGAUUGAUAAAAACUUCAAGAGCUUUGGAGGGCGGAAUCAUGUCUGUAUCUUGGCUGCCUAAAAUAGACGUCAUCAAAACCUACAGUGCCGAAGUCUUCAGCUUAAUUUUUAUAACGGAUUUACCAAUAGUAGAAACGACUUCAAGAAAUAUCGGCAUCAUAUCAACAUGGUGUAAUCUUCCGCUGAUUUCCGUAAGAUGUUUUAAAUUGGUUAUAAUUUCUGAUCUUUGCAUUUCUUUGUGAAUAAGGAUUUUUUCGUAUUUAAAAAAAAAAAAAAGUCAUGUAAUAGAUUUAGAAAAAAGCAAUUUUAAUCAGUGAACAGUUUUACCUGCGUCCAAAACGAAAAUUAUAUUAAUUUUCGGAAUGUUGUAAAUAUCCGAUUCCUGAUUCAAAUUUGAUUUGAUGAAUUAAUUUUAUUGCCAUUGCCUAAUAAGCCAAGAUUUUAAAUGUACCUUGAU